rnacentral:sRNA from 1 species
UUUUUUUUUAACAUUAAAC